UAAGGAAUAUUGGUCAAUGGACGCAAGUCUGAACCAGCCAUGCCGCGUGAAGGAUGAAGGUCCUCUGGAUUGUAAACUUCUUUUAUCUGGGACGAAAACGGGAUUUUUAUCUCAAUUGACGGUACCAGAGGAAUAAGCACCGGCUAACUCCGUGCCAGCAGCCGCGGUAAUACGGAGGGUGCGAGCGUUAUCCGGAUUUACUGGGUUUAAGGGGUGCGUAGGUGGGCUUAUAAGUCAGUGGUGAAAUCUCCGAGCUUAACUUGGAAACUGCCGUUGAUACUAUAGGUCUUGAAUUAUCUGGAGGUAAGCCGAAUAUGUCAUGUAGCGGUGAAAUGCUUAGAUAUGACAUAGAACACCAAUUGCGAAGGCAGCUUACUACAUAUAAAUUGACGCUGAGGCACGAAAGCGUGGGGAUCAAACA
rnacentral:rRNA from 1 species